GAGGGCGUGGCAGGGGGGCACCAACGUGUGGGGUGGGGGCUUCAAAUAGGGUGGGGGGGAGCCAAAAAUUGGGGUGGGAACCCCCAGAUUUGGGUUCCCUAAAUGCCAGAGCUGGGCGUCCCAUGGGAUGCAGUGGGUUCUGGGUGUGCUGGGAGGGGCCGUGGGGCUCGGAGCGGGGCGGGGGGCCAUUAAUUACCCCCCCACCUUAAUUAGGAUGCUCCUCCAUUAAUUAGGAGCCCUUAUUAAUUAACAUUGCUCAUUAGUUGCUAUUUUCUCAGCCCCAACACCCCCCACUUCCCCUCUCUCCCACAUCCCCACCCGCAACCCCGUCGCCGAGCCGCCGGGCGAUGGGAGGCGCUAAUUGUGGCUCAUUAACGCCGUUAAUUAGGCGGGCUGUUGCUGUGCCUGCCCCGCGAGCAGGCUGCCCGGUUCUGCUCCGAGCUCCGCUCCCGAACCGGCGGCCGCCCGGCGUGGAUCGUCGGCAUCGUGGAGCGCGGAGCCCGCGGGGCGCGGGUCAUCGAGAAGCCGCGGCUCAUCGAGGUGCCCCCCACCGAGCCCCCCGCUAAUUAGUUCAUUAGCAGCUCCUCAUUAACGCCGCAGGACUCCUACAUACACUGACUGAGCGAGGUGCCCCCCCAGAGCCCCUAAUUAGUUAAUUACUGGGCUCUCAUUAACCCCACGGGUCACCGAGAAGCCGCGGCUCAUCCAGGUGCCAUCCCCAGAGCCCCUAAUUAGUUAAUUACUGGGUUCUCAUUAACACCCCCGCAGGACAUUGGGAUACCCUGACUAAUUGAGAUGCCCGUAUUAAUUAAUUAAUUAGAGGACUUUGAUUAAUCCUCCCACAACAGAUCAUCAAGAAACAGCAACUAAUUGAGGUGACCCCCCCCCCCAGAGCCCCUAAUUAGCGGGGACUCAUUAUCCCCCCGGAGCCCCUAAUUAACAGGGGCUCGUUAAUUACCCCCGUGCUGCCCGCAGAGUGACGCCCCCCCCCGAAACCCCCCGCGGAGUGGGGGAGGGGCCGAGGACCCCCGCGGGCGGCGUGUGGGGAAAUGGGGGAUUUGGGGCAAUAAACGCAGAUUUUGGGGCCGGCGACGAUUUGGGGUCGUUUGUUGGGGUUUUGGGGUCGGUUGGUGGGAUUUUGGGGUCAGCUGUUCGGAUUUUGGGGUCAGUCGUUGGGGUUUUGGGGUCGGUUGGUGGGGUUUUGGGGUCGGUUGGUGGGAUUUUGGGGUCAGCUGUUCAGAUUUUGGGGUCAAUCGUUGGGGUUUUGGGGUCGGUUGGUGGGAUUUUAGGGUCAAUCGUUGGGAUUUUGGGGUCAAUCAUUGGGAUUUUGGGGUCAGCUGUUUGGAUUUUCGGGUCAAUCAUUGGGAUUUUGGGGUUGUUUGUUGGGGUUUUGGGGUCGGUUGGUGGCAUUUUGGGGUCAGCUGUUCGGAUUUUGGGGUCAGUUGUUGGGGUUUUGGGGUCGGUUGGUGGGAUUUUGGGGUCAGCUGUUCGGAUUUUGGGGUCAAUCGUUGGGGUUUUGGGGUCGUUUGUUGGGGUUUUGGGGUCAGUUGUUGGGAUUUUGGGGUCAAUGGGAUUUUGGGGGCCUCUUCUUGAGCUUUUAGGGUCAAUUGUUGGGAUUUUGGGGUUUUUCGUUGGGGUUUUGGGGUCAACUCUCGGGGUUUGGGGGUCGGUUGUUGGGAUGUUGGGGUCAAUUCCUGAGAUUUUGGGGUCAAUCAUUGGGAUUUUGGGGUCAAUCAUUCAGAUUUUGGGGGCCUCUUCUUGGGGUUUUGGGGUCAAUUGUUGGGAUUUCAGGGCCGGUUGUUCAGAUUUUGGGGUUGUUCCGUGUUUUAUGGGGUCACCCCAUUAAUUUUUGGGGUGAAUUCUGCCCCUUUCAGCUCCCAUCCCCCAAACCUUGGCAGUUUACAUUUCCAACAUUUAUUCCAUUUUGGGGCAUUUCUGCAGCUUUUAGGGCCCCCCCCGCCCCAAAAAUCUUCUGGGAGUCCCCCCCAAUUUUGGGGGCAGAUUCCCAUUUUUGGGGCCCCCUCCAGAUAUUUUUUUGGGGGGGGUUCCCAUGUUUUGGGGUCCCAUUUCUGCAGGGGGGGGUCCCACAUUUGGGGGGUUCUUGGGAUUCUGGGGGGGGUCCCACAUUCUGAGGGGUCCCUGCCAUUUUGGGGGGAGUUCCCCAGUUUUUGGGAUCCCCCCCAUAAUCUUGGGACCCCCCCGGAUUUUGGAAGGGGGUCCCCAAUUCUGGGGGGAUCCCCAAUUUCUGGGGGGAUCCUUCAGUUUCUGGGGGGGGUCCCCAAAGUUUGGUUGAUCUCCUCGUUUCUGUGGGGGGGUCCCCAAUUUCUGGGGCGAUUUUCCAAAUAUUGGGACCCCCCCCACACACAUAUAUUGGGACCCCUCCAGAUUUUGGAAGGGGUCCCCAAUUCUGCGGGGGGGGUCCCCAAUUUCUGGGGGGAUCCUUUGGUUUCCAGAGGGGGAUCCCCAAUGUUUGGCUGAUCUCCUCGUUUCUGUGGGGGGGGGGGUCCCCAAUUUCUGGGGGGAUUUUCCAAAUAUUGGGCCCCCCCCAAAUACUUUGGGACCCCCCCAGAUUUUGGAAGGGGGUCCCCAAUUCUAGGGGGGGUCCCCAAUUUCUGGGGCAAUCCUUUUGUUUCUGUAGGGGGGUCCCCAAUGUUUGGCUGAUCUCCCAGUUCCUGUGGGGGGGUCCCCAGUUCUUGGGGGGUGGAUUUUCCAGCUCUUGUGACCCCCCCCUCAUAU
ensembl:lncRNA